CAGUCGCCGCGGUAAUACGGAGGGAGCUAGCGUUGUUCGGAAUUACUGGGCGUAAAGCGCACGUAGGCGGUUAUUCAAGUCAGAGGUGAAAGCCCGGGGCUCAACCCCGGAACUGCCUUUGAAACUAGAUGACUAGAAUCUUGGAGAGGUCAGUGGAAUUCCGAGUGUAGAGGUGAAAUUCGUAGAUAUUCGGAAGAACACCAGUGGCGAAGGAGACUGACUGGACAAGUAUUGACGCUGAGGUGCGAAAGCGUGGGAGCAAACAGGAUUAGAUACCCGCGUAGUCCCUGUCUCUUAUACA
rnacentral:rRNA from 1 species